rnacentral:rRNA from 1 species
GAUGAACGCUGGCGGCAUGCCUAAGACAUGCAAGUCGAACGAGAGGGCCCAAGGAGAGAGAAAGAAAUGGAAAGUGCUUGCACUGGAAAUGGAAAGCUUUCGAAUUGGAAUUUCCCUCGAGUGGCAAACGGGUGAGUAACACGUGGGUUACCUACCUCUAUGAUGGGGAUAACAGUUGGAAACGAUUGCUAAUACCGAAUGUGCUCUACGGAGUAAAGAAGCCCUUAAAGCUUCGCAUAGAGAUGGGCCUGCGGUGCAUUAGCUAGUUGGUGGGGUAAUGGCCUACCAAGGCAGCGAUGCAUAGCCGAGCUGAGAGGUUGAUCGGCCACACUGGGACUGAGACACGGCCCAGACUCCUACGGGAGACAGCAGUUAGGAAUAUUGGUCAAUGGACGAGAGUCUGAACCAGCCAAGUAGCGUGCAGGAUGACGGCCCUAUGGGUUGUAAACUGCUUUUAUAAGGGAUAAAGUGAGUCUCGUGAGAC